AUUGAACGCUGGCGGCAUGCUUUACACAUGCAAGUCGAACGGUAACAGGCCGCAAGGUGCUGACGAGUGGCGAACGGGUGAGUAAUGCAUCGGAACGUGCCCAGUCGUGGGGGAUAACUACUCGAAAGAGUAGCUAAUACCGCAUACGAUCUAUGGAUGAAAGCGGGGGACCGUAAGGCCUCGCGCGAUUGGAGCGGCCGAUGUCAGAUUAGGUAGUUGGUGGGGUAAAGGCUCACCAAGCCAACGAUCUGUAGCAGGUCUGAGAGGACGACCAGCCACACUGGGACUGAGACACGGCCCAGACUCCUACGGGAGGCAGCAGUGGGGAAUUUUGGACAAUGGGCGCAAGCCUGAUCCAGCAAUGCCGCGUGCAGGAAGAAGGCCUUCGGGUUGUAAACUGCUUUUGUACGGAACGAAACGGCUCUGGUUAAUACCCGGGGCUAAUGACGGUACCGUAAGAAUAAGCACCGGCUAACUACGUG
rnacentral:rRNA from 1 species